AUUUCUUGUUUAAUUGUUUAAAUGUUUAAAUCUUUUUGGAAAAAGAUGCCCACCUCUGUCAGAACAUCAAAAGAGGGACGAAAGAUACCAAAGGGACAGUCAAACUCAUAAAUCUAAAACAAACUGACAACGCCAUGGCUAAAAAUGAAAAAGACAAACAAACAACAGCACACACGACACAACAUAGAAAACUAAAGAAUAAACAACACGAA
rnacentral:lncRNA from 1 species